rnacentral:rRNA from 1 species
UACGUAGGGUGCAAGCGUUAAUCGGAAUUACUGGGCGUAAAGCGUGCGCAGGCGGUCUUGCAAGACAGAUGUGAAAUCCCCGGGCUUAACCUGGGAACUGCAUUUGUGACUGCAGGGCUGGAGUGCGGCAGAGGGGGAUGGAAUUCCGCGUGUAGCAGUGAAAUGCGUAGAUAUGCGGAGGAACACCGAUGGCGAAGGCAAUCCCCUGGGCCUGCACUGACGCUCAUGCACGAAAGCGUGGGGAGCAAACAGG